UACGAAGGGGGCUAGCGUUGCUCGGAAUUACUGGGCGUAAAGGGCGCGUAGGCGGAUAUCUAAGUUGGGGGUGAAAUCCCGGGGCUCAACCUCGGAAUUGCCUUCAAAACUGGGUAUCUUGAGUUCGGGGAGAGGUGAGUGGAACUCCGAGUGUAGAGGUGAAAUUCGUAGAUAUUCGGAAGAACACCAGUGGCGAAGGCGACUCACUGGCCCGAUACUGACGCUGAGAGACGAAAGC
rnacentral:rRNA from 1 species